CCCUCUUCCCUCUGCUGGCUCUGGGGCUGCUGUCAGCUCCUCCUGCCGAAAUCGCCUCCGGUUUAGGAAUAAAUUCCCAGGUUUUGUGUUAUCGGGAUGGCAAAUCGAGUUUGGGGCGGGGUUGGAGCAUUCUGAUGGGUUUUUUUUUCCCCUUUCUUUUUCCUCCGGAUUUUUUCCCAUCUCCCUCAGAGCCCAGCUCGGCAUCGCCGGGUGACAACGUGAUGACAGCGGCUCUGAAAAGAGGGGGAGGUGACGGAUUCGUGCAGGGGGGGAGAAAAACAGGGAAGGGGAGGGAGGGAGGCAGGGAGGGAGCGAGGAGAUGUGGAGAUGCCACCCUGAUUAUCCCAUCCCGGCUCCUCGGAGCCGGAUCCGCCUCCCCCUUCCCUGGGAGAUGGGGCUCGUGUCCUCCCCCGCUUCUCCUGGCUUUUCCCGGGGUUAUUUUUAUAGAUUUUGUAUUUUUUAUAUUUAUACUUUUCCAUAAAUAAAUCAGGAGCCAUCCCAGCGCUGUGCGGUGUGAGGACGUGGAAGGAUCCACGUGGAGCUGGGAUUGUCCCUUCCCACGUUCCACCUGCAGCACAAAGAACGCCAGGGUGGCUCCAAAAUUAAGGCAGAAUGGGUCUUUUCCCUAAAAUGAUGUGGAGUUUUCCUCUUUUUUCCCCCAAGCUGGGGGGGGUAAGACCUUGCAGGCUGAGUUCAUUAAUUUUUAAUUCAUGUGCAGUUUGGGCUGGAACCCAGCUAUGGAAAAGGGUUUUUUGGGAUGCAGAUUUUUGGGAUGAGGGAUUUUGGGAUGGGGGCAAAGCGGGCUGGGAUUCAUGGUGGGAUCCAGGGGUUGUUUUCCCUAUGGCUGCCUUGGGAAUUGGUUGUCAGCUGUGCCCUGGCUCUAAUCCCAUCUCAAGCCCUUCCUUUAGAUUUUGGGGAUCUCCUCUCCCCAAAACCCCCAUCCAGAGGUGUGGCCGCAUCCCAAAUUCCCAGCCAGAAGGAAAACCCUUCAUGUCCAGCCUCCGAUCCUGUGGCACGUGGGGGUCACAGAGGCCGGAGCCGCUCUCAGCCAGCAGGGAAUUUGCCGGGAAUGGUGGCGGCGUUGGGAUAAUGAGAUGCUGCUCACGCUCCCUAAUGAAGUGCCGAAGGAAGUCGGCGCCGGCUCCCGGCAAAUUAGAUCGGGAUUAUUGGAGCAGUGAGAAUGGAAGGAUCCGAGAUGGUAUCGGAGCGGGCGGGAAGGGCUGGAAGUGGAGGAAGGAUGGGAACCCCUCCCAAAACCUGGAUCAGGGCAGGAGGGGAGGGAAGGGAUCGGCCUCUCC
rnacentral:lncRNA from 1 species